UGGGUUGGCCGAGUGGUUAAGGCGUUGGACUUAAGUUCCAAUGGACAAGUGUCCGCGUGGGUUUGGACCCCCCCCACACCCA
rnacentral:tRNA from 1 species